UGGCUCAGAACGAACGCUGGCGGCAUGCCUAACACAUGCAAGUCGAACGCCCUAGCAAUAGGGAGUGGCGCACGGGUGAGUAACGCGUGGGAAUGUACUGUUUAGUGGGGGAUAACUUCGGGAAACUGAAGCUAAUACCGUAUACGCCCUUCGGGGGAAAGAUUUAUCGCUAAAGGAUUAGCCCGCGUGAGAUUAGGUAGUUGGUGGGGUAAUGGCCUAGGAAACCUACGAUCUCUAGCUGGUCUGAGAGGAUGAUCAGCCAC
rnacentral:rRNA from 1 species